rnacentral:lncRNA from 10 species
CAGCUCUAGCUUCUGGAAGGCAACUGGCAAGAGAAUUCUCAAAGCGUACUGAGGAUUGUUGCUGGAACCACGCUUAUGCCUCCGCUGUACGGCUGGCUGGGGGCUCCUGGGGUGGGAGCCGAUUACACCACCGUGAGCAGCAGUGAUAGAAGCACAAGUCGGCACCGACUGUUAGGCUCAUCUGCAGAAAUCCAGGCUCUCUGCAUUCUGGAAUAAUUUGAUCCACACCAUCUGGCAGCUUGAAAGAAGAAGAAAAAGAUGAAGAGGGAGAAGAAACAACAGCCAUGUAGCAUGAAUGUAAUUCCUAAUCUAAGUUAUGCACUCCCAUUUGCUUCAUGUAAUAUGAGCCAAAUUUAAACAUGUCAACAUCUCAACAAUUGCUGAUUUUUCAAGUGCUAUACGAUGCAUCUGGC